rnacentral:rRNA from 1 species
CCUACGGGUGGCAGCAGUGGGGAAUAUUGGACAAUGGGCGAAAGCCUGAUCCAGCCAUGCCGCGUGUGUGAAGAAGGCCUUCGGGUUGUAAAGCACUUUCAGUGGGGAAGAAAGCCUUGGGGCUAAUACCCUCGAGGAAGGACAUCACCCACAGAAGAAGCACCGGCUAACUCCGUGCCAGCAGCCGCGGUAAUACGGAGGGUGCGAGCGGUAAUCGGAAUUACUGGGCGUAAAGCGCGCGUAGGCGGUCUGAUAAGCCGGUUGUGAAAGCCCCGGGCUCAACCUGGGAACGGCAUCCGGAACUGUCAGGCUAGAGUGCAGGAGAGGAAGGUAGAAUUCCCGGUGUAGCGGUGAAAUGCGUAGAGAUCGGGAGGAAUACCAGUGGCGAAGGCGGCCUUCUGGACUGACACUGACGCUGAGGUGCGAAAGCGUGGGUAGCAAACAGGAUUAGAUACCCCAGUAGUC